rnacentral:rRNA from 1 species
CAUCGGAGAGCUUGCUCGAAGAUGGUGAGAGUGGCGCACGGGUGCGUAACGCGUGAGCAACCUACCUCUAUCAGGGGGAUAGCCUCUCGAAAGAGAGAUUAACACCGCAUAACAUCAACAGUUCGCAUGUUCAGUUGAUUAAAUAUUUAUAGGAUAGAGAUGGGCUCGCGUGACAUUAGCUAGUUGGUAGGGUAACGGCUUACCAAGGCGACGAUGUCUAGGGGCUCUGAGAGGAGAAUCCCCCACACUGGUACUGAGACACGGACCAGACUCCUACGGGAGGCAGCAGUAAGGAAUAUUGGUCAAUGGGCGGAAGCCUGAACCAGCCAUGCCGCGUGCAGGAUGACUGCCCUAUGGGUUGUAAACUGCUUUUGUCCGGGAAUAAACCUAGAUACGUGUAUCUAGCUGAAUGUACUGGAAGAAUAAGGAUCGGCUAACUCCGUGCCAGCAGCCGCGGUAAUACGGAGGAUCCGAGCGUUAUCCGGAUUUAUUGGGUUUAAAGGGUGCGUAGGCGGCCUAUUAAGUCAGGGGUGAAAUACGGUGGCUCAACCAUCGCAGUGCCUUUGAUACUGAUGGGCUUGAAUCCAUUUGAAGUGGGCGGAAUAAGACAAGUAGCGGUGAAAUGCAUAGAUAUGUCUUAGAACUCCGAUUGCGAAGGCAGCUCACUAAGCUGGUAUUGACGCUGAUGCACGAAAGCGUGGGGAUCGAACAGGAUUAGAUACCCUGGUAGUCCACGCCCUANACGAUGAUAACUCGAUGUUGGCGAUAGACAGCCAGCGUCCAAGCGAAAGCGUUAAGUUAUCCACCUGGG